CCCGCAGGUGUGGAGAACUAACCCCCGCAGGUGUGGAGAACUAACCCCCGCAGGUGUGGAGAACUAACCCAGCAGGUUAGGAGAACUAGCGCAGCAGGUUAGGAGAACUAGGUUAAAGUUAGGGAAAGGGUAAAGGGUUAGCUAAAAUGCUAACAUUCUCUCCGACCAUGCACUUUUUUUUUUAACAAUACUUUGGCAAACGAUGUCGCCCACUUAGUUAGGACGCCAUUGCUGCUCCAUCAAGGCUUACCUGCUCAGUAGGAGGAGGAGGAGGGUUCACUAGCAGAGUGCCAGCCGUCUUCAUGUCUCCCUGUCCUCUGUCUGCGAAGCCUGCAAGAACAGUCUGUAAAGCUGAGACAAUAACCCGAACAGAGACCGACCAAACCGUCCACUUAUAUCAUUGAUUACCAUAAAUAACUUUUAAAAAAGGUUCCUACUAGAGAAAUUAAAUUAGGUCUAAAUCCUCUGUUCGUAAAGUGAGAGAACGUGUUCAACCUCUAAAUCCUCUCUGUUCGUAAAGUGAGAGAACAUGUUCAACCUCUAAAUCCUCUCUGUUCGUAAAGUGAGAGAACGUGUUCAACCUCUAAAUCCUCUCUGUUCGUAAAGUGAGAGAACGUGUUCAACCUCUAAAUCCUCUCUGUUCGUAAAGUGAGAGAACAUGUUCAACCUCUAAAUCCUCUCUGUUCGUAAAGUGAGAGAACGUGUUCAACCUCUAAACCCUCUCUGUUCGUAAAGUGAGAGAACGUGUUCAACCUCUAAAUCUUUGAGUAAAGAAGUAAAAAGAGAUAAGUUGGAAAAAAAAAUAAUAAUAAAUCGAUCACAAAAUGUAAAGGUCAGCACUCACCUCUCUCUGUGUUGGAAGCAGUAGUACUAGACAAGGUAGUAGCAGCAGCAUCAGUAGUAAUAUUGACAACAGAGGUAGUAUUAGGGUUCCCCAGGGGGCUGUGGCUGGACCUCAUACCCAGGGAAGAGGCACCGCUGGCGGGGCAAGGAUCCAGCGGUCCUUGGGUCUGGUUCCCACUGGGCAGCCUCGGGGGAGGGUACCCCAGAGACGCUGAUUGGUACUGGGGUACGGCGGGAGGGGAGGCGGCUGGAGCUGGAGUGUAGGGCUGAGCUUGAGAGGUGUGGGUAGAGGAUUGGGGUGCAGUCGGGUACUGGUUGGGAGGUGCAGGUUGGGGUGCUUGUGGAGAGUAUUGUGUCAGGGGUGUGGGUACAGAGCAUACCCCAGUGUAGGCGUUCUGUCGCGGGGUAACGUUGCUACACCAGGGUAGAGAGCCAGCCAUACGUGGCUGGAAUGGCACGGGCUGGGUUGAGGCAGGGUGAAGGUGGCGGUUGGAAGGAUACCCCAGGGCGGAGCGCCCAUCCUGCCCGUAUCUGAACUCCAUAUGCUGGGGAGGUUCUGCAGCCGAUUGGGGGGUUGAUCUCUGGAGAUUGUCAUGCAGAUGGUGGCCCCCCAAACCCGAGGGGGUGGGGUACUGAGGGUGGGGGUGUCCGUACCCCUCCUGGGGCGCGGUGGAGGGGUGGGAGGGGUACCAGUGGGAAGAGGGGAGGGAGACUGAGGGUAGUUUGGGCUGCAUGCUGUAGGCCUGGUGAAGAGGGAGGAUGUAAGAGUGGGGGGCCACAUGGGGUUGGU
ensembl:lncRNA